GUGCUCACUUCGGCAGCACAUAUACUAAAAUUGGAACAAUGCAGAGAAGAUUAGCAUGGCCCCUGUGCAAAAUGGCCUUGUAUAUAUUGAGAGGGUUGCCAGCUUCUC